GUCGAAAUCGAAGAAACGACAACCACCAAAGAGGCGAUAACUGCCGUUACGGCAGUCGAAACCAGACUUUCAGCGAAGCGAGAUCGCUCAGGGCGGCGGUUGCUAGACCGGAGAACGUGGGAAGGUUGUGAAAAAUUAAUAAAAUUAAUUUGGGAACAAUGCCCACGGCAUUUUACCAAGAAAUACGAGAACCACGUACAGACCAAAAACCGUCCGCAGAGAGAGACGGCGCGCAUGAGCGAGAGAGCCAGAGAGCGACGGCGAAGAGAGCGCAAAACCAAUGACAACAACUCUCACACGAAUGAGAAAUCAAAACAAAUUGCAAAAGAAUAGAGAUUUUCUGCCUUUUGCCUGGGUUAUGUGUAUAUGUUUUGACGAGCGUGUACCUUAGCGUAUGCGCACCGCCACAAGCAGAAUAAAAAAUAUAUAAAAUUAUUUGCUGCACACACACACACAAUGAAGCAAAGGCAUUAUGCACGCCGUAAACAAUUGCACAUGAGCUAAAAUACAAAAAAUUACACUUUGUUUCGUGGCCCCCGAUGGCUACGUCAUGGCACAAAAAUAAUGGCGCGCUUUUUUUUAUACACAUCCAAACAAAAAUAAAAUUGCUAAAAUAAAAGGAAAAAACAAUCAAUUGGGUUUGGAUCGAACAUCGUUUAAUCUGAAUCAUUUGCAGGAGGAGCAUAAACAGGAGCAGCACAUCAAUAUUUUCCAUUUUAUAUACGCCUGCUGCCUGGCAAUCGUGUGGCCGUACUUUUGAAACGCCUUUAAAUGCCACAAAACUCACCUAUUUCCAACUAUCCUAUUCAGAUAAACACUCGCUACGUGUUUACAAACAUUUAGGCGUAUUCUAUACCGACCGAUACUGGGAAGUUGAUUUGAGAUGGCCUACGCAGCGAUAGGACCUCUAGGGUAUCGAUUGCUUGGUAUUAUUUAAAUAUCGACUGCAAAAACCAAGGAUGGACUUGCAAAAUACUAGAUAUUAUUAUCUUGUGGAAUUUUAUUCUAUGGAUGGUGGAAUGUGUGUAACAAUAAAUAAGUA